AUGGCGACCGGCGCACGGGUGAGUAACGCGUAUCCAACCUGCCCUUUACUAUGGGACAGCCCGUCGAAAGGCGGAUUAAUACCGUAUGUUGUCAUGUUGAUGCAUAUUUUCAUGACCAAAGGCUUCGGCCGGUAAAGGAUGGGGAUGCGUCUGAUUAGCUUGCCGGCGGGGUAACGGCCCACCGGGGCGACGAUCGGUAGGGGUUCUGAGAGGAAGGUCCCCCACAUUGGAACUGAGACACGGUCCAAACUCCUACGGGAGGCAGCAG
rnacentral:rRNA from 1 species